rnacentral:rRNA from 1 species
CAGUAGCCGCGGGAAUACGAAGGGGGCUAGCGUUGCUCGGAAUUACUGGGCGUAAAGGGAGCGUAGGCGGGUCGUUUAGUCAGAGGUGAAAUCCCGGGGCUCAACCUCGGAACUGCCUUUGAUACUGGCGACCUUGAGUAUGGGAGAGGUGAGUGGAACUCCGAGUGUAGAGGUGAAAUUCGUAGAUAUUCGGAAGAACACCAGUGGCGAAAGCGACUCACUGGCCCAUUACUGACGCUGAGGCUCGAAAGCGUGGGGAGCAAACAGGAUUAGAUACCCGAGUAGUCCCUGUCUCUUAUAA